rnacentral:rRNA from 1 species
UACGUAGGGGGCUAGCGUUGUCCGGGUUUAUUGGGCGUAAAGAGCUCGUAGGUGGUUCGGUAAGUCGGAUGUGAAAUCUCCAGGCUCAACCUGGAGGGGUCAUUCGAUACUGCCGUGACUAGAGUUCGGUAGAGGAGUGUGGAAUUCCUGGUGGAGCGGUGAAAUGCGCAGAUAUCAGGAGGAACACCGGUGGCGAAGGCGGGUCUCUGGGCAGUAACUGACGCUGAGGAGCGAAAGCGUGGGGAGCGAACAGG